rnacentral:lncRNA from 1 species
GAAUCUUGAACUUCUACUCUCAAUCAGUGUCUUCUACCCACUUUUGUUUUUUUGGGUACCAAUGUGUUGAAGCUUUAAAGUACUCUUUUUGAUCUAGUGUCUUCGAGUACGUACUCUUGUUUUUGUCAGACUAUUUUUUUUUUUUUUUGGGAUGUAAGAAACUUGCUCCAGUCCAACGACCUAAUUAUGAAUCAAACUAUGAAUAUGCCAACUUUACUGUAAAUGACAAAAGUUAUAUGAGUACUCAUAAAAUAACCAAUCACACUUGUACUAAAACAAAAGACAUUGUGCACCUUCAUCAACAUGGUAAUGUCAAACAGUAUAUCAACUAAUGGCAAAAAGGCAGAUCUGCC